rnacentral:lncRNA from 1 species
GUGGGCUGCAUGGAGAACAUUAUAUUCAAGCAGACCUGUGUUUGAAUCCCAUCCAGCUGUGACAUCUUGCUGAGGCUCAGUGUCCCCGUCUGUAUGAAGAUCACACUACUGACCUCAGAGGGCUGUGGAGAGGAUUAGAAGAGACACAUUGUCUAAAAUGCUAGCACAGGGCUGGCAUAAAGAGUAUGGCUCAAACUUGAUAGUUCUCUUUCCCUUUCAAGAGAAUAUAAAAAUGAAAUAAAAGCCAGAAUAAGUAAUGGGAGGAAUUAGGUGGAAGACAAAAGAAUGAUCACAUGUUGGUAUAGCACUGAAUUCGGGCUGGUAUAGCACAUUAAAUCUGAGGACUAGAUCUAGUUUCCAUUAGUUUCUCUUAGGUUCCACUGAACAGGCACCUACAUUGCUUCUUUGACACACUAUCCUUUUUUUUUUUUUAAUAACUUCUAUAUAAUGACAGGUAAAGCGACUUUUCUCAUGUUGUGUUUUCUCAGGUAAUAGGUGAUGUCCAUGCGUCAGAAGUGAGAAGGUGGGAAGAUAGAGUUGUCAAGUUAAGAAAUAUGGGAAAAGCUUACAAGUGCCUUGAUAGGGAAUGUGGCAUUGAAAAGAACACAUCAUACCUUAUUUCUAGCUUGGACAGUUCUGCCAAACAUCUAGGUUUAAAAGCAGUUCAAAGCGUGGUACAAAGAAAAAAAAUCCACUUAAAAUAUCUCAGCUUGACUCUCAUCACUUUGUACAAGGUUCGAAUGUGAUCUGGACACCAACACACCAAGCUGAGCUUUGUGUGAGGAACUAAAUGUUAGACUGAAAUGGGAAACUGAAGCAGGUCAGUCUCCUUUUGUUGAGCUUCUCCUUCUUGUCAAACCACUGGGCUGCACGUUGUCGUUUUUGUUUGUCACUGAUAGCCUAUCACAAAGCCCCUUCUGUUAGGAUGCCGUACCUGAAACUCCCACUAGCCAGCAGAGCAUAAACACCAAGGUGGAGCCACCUUCCCCAAACCUCUCACACACAAUAGCUACUGCUGUCACAGCAGGACAAUUGAGUGGAUCUUAUAGUGGUAUAUUUUUCCUCAUCAUAUGCAUGACAGAAAGUCUAAUGGACCUCGUUCAUUUCUUGAGUAGCUUUUAAGGCCCUAUAAAAUGGCCUGUUAUCAGCUCCAUCAGUGUUCCCAAGAUGUCUGCCUGGGUGUCGGGGAGCCCGGCAGCAGCUGUAUUUUCAGCCCUCCAAUCAGCAAGGAGAAGGUAGUCAUUAGCUGAAAAAGUAGAGAGGAAAACUGUUUGCACCCCAGAAGGAAAAGCGAAAUACCAGUGGCAUUGUGUGAUAAAUAAAAUUGACGGCUGUUAAAAAUGGAAGGAUUAA